UUUCCUAAGGUCACAUGCAAUUUUAAUAGUGAAAAAUUAAUUGACAACAAAUUCACGAAGAAUUUAAGGCAAAUAAUUAACAAGUAAUUCUUAUGUCUAGCAAUAGGCAAUAUUUACCCUUUCAUGGUAACUCGAAACCUAACUUCGCCCCCACACAAUGACUUUUAAAGCGAAAAAUAAAUUACUAACUCACACAAUAGUCUUAAUUGUACUAAUAAAAGACAAACAUCAUGAUACCGAGUGAACUAUAUCUGCGGGGUCCGUAAACUAGGAGAUAUGCGAAUUCACUACUUUAAGGCCGUCACCAUUCGCCCUAAAACUUCUAGCAACCCCGGCAAAACAAAAAGGCACCCGACACCCAAACAUCUGAGGGAAAAAUCGUCCAAAUUUUACCAUACAACUCAAAACUGAAAUCUAACAACACCGCAACGUCCGUCACGUCAUUGGCAACAUUUUGUCUGCUCAGAUCAUACCCGAACUCUGGCUCAUGCAUGCCUCCACACGCCUGACCACCAAGUGCACCUCUGCCUACGGAGGACGCAGUGGUUUCCAUUUAUCCACAAGUUUGUGGUUGGACUGGAAAUCAAUUAAACAACUUUAAAACAAGUCUGACAAAGAUGAUUUCAAAACUGGAUAGAUUUCUUCCUGUUUUCUGUAGAUUUUCCAGCUUCAUUUCAGCCUUAUUCCAGUCGGUUUUUGACAACAGUUUGC
rnacentral:lncRNA from 1 species